UUGUGCUUCCUCGUCUACCCGCGUUCAUCCGUGGGUGAGGACUAUUACUUGAAUACUUGCCCCCUCCUUUUUUCCGCCUUUCUGCGAUAGGGGCUGAUUGUGCUUCCUCGUCUACCCGCGUUCAUCCGUGGGUGAGGACUAUUACUCUUUGCUGCUGUGUUCCCCGUCUAACCUACGUUCUUCCGUAGGUGGGGUUCACUUUUUGCCGCUGUGUUCCCCGUCUAACCUACGUUCUUCCGUAGGUGGGGUUCACUUUUGAGUACAUCCCUCGUCUAACACUACGUUUCCGUAGGUGAGGUUCACUCUUGCCGAUGUGUUCCCCGUCUAAUACUACGUUCUUCCGUAGGUGAGGUUCACUCUUGCCGAUGUGUUCCCCGUCUAAUACUACGUUCUUCCGUAGGUGGGGUUCACUCUUGGCCGCUGUGUUCCCCGUCUAACCUACGUUCUUCCGUAGGUGGGGUUCACUUUUGAGUACAUCCCUCGUCUAACACUACGUUUCCGUAGGUGAGGUUCACUCUUGCCGAUGUUGCCGAUGUGUUCCCCGUCUAACACUACGUUCUUCCGUAGGUGGGGUUCACUUUUGAGUACGUCCCUCGUCUAACACUACGUUUCCGUAGGUGAGGUUCACU
rnacentral:lncRNA from 1 species